GUCGAUGCAGUAGCCAUAGCAGCAUCUUCUCAGCGUGCGAGGUACUGAGCCAUUCGCCAGGGCAGCAAAGAGGGCAUCCAGCCUGGCUGAGUCAUUGGUGCCCGGGUCCAGACACAGCUGCCCAGCUGGGCACUGUCCGUCUUCAUCAGAUUCCCUGGUGAACACAAACGGGUGUUCCACCAGGGUUACCACACGCAGCUUUGGCCGGGCCUGGGUGCCAGACGGAGAUGGGACUCGGAGAGCGGCCGCCCCUGGCUGGAAGUCCAGCUGUCCAUCCUGCCAGCUGCCCACUGUUGCCCAGGCUGGGGCACCCAGCGGGUCCCGGCGCAGGCUCCAUACCUUGAAAUGCCGAGACACAUGCACCUGAGAGGAGCCUGUCACCCACACGGCCCCUGUUCGGCCCUGAAAUGAGGUGUUGCCGAGAAACCUGUGGAAUAUAGAAGAAUUGUCUCAAUCCUGAGAGAACUGCCCCUCCAUUGAUAAGUCAUCACAGUUCACCACAGCUGGAAGCAGUGCCCGCUCUGGGUGCACAAGGGCCAUGCUACUGAGUGCCUGAGCCACAAGCUCCACCAUGUCGUGGACGACAGCUUCCAGAGAGUGUUGUUCGGUUUCCCCCAGCGCCAGCACGCCAGGUGGCAGGCCAGUCGUGGGCAGUGCCUCAGCGGGCAAUGGUGUGCCCAGCAACCACUGGGGACCCGGUGGUGCAGCCUCUAGGACCUCAUGUGCACGGGCAGUGCUGCAGCCUAGGAGGACUGCUGCAGGCACUGGGGUUCCCCCUCCUUCCAGUGUCCCCAACAGGGCCAGUCCAGCCCGAAGGCUGUCAUUCCUGCUGUCCAGCCGGCUCAGGUCCAGCACAAACUUUGGAGCCUGGCUAGCAUGGUUGGUCCAGAGUGUCACCAGGCCACCAGGGUCCCGGACACGGCAGAGUACUAGAGCAAUGUCCUCCCAGGCAUGUGCCCGUACCAGGGACACCAGCACAUCCAGUAUGGUCUCCAGGGGACUAGCCCAGUCCAGCUGCAGAUGGAACGGGGUCUGGGAAGAGGUGGUUCCUGUCAGGGCCGUCCACCUUUGUGUGCACAGUCCCAGCCACCCACCCUGUCAAGGAAUCUAUGUCUUACCCUGCCUUCAGCUCACUGGUGUUCAGUGACUCCCCGAUACCCUCCUUUCUUCCUUUCUUUCUGAAAGUAUUUUGCUGCUCAGGUUAGUCUUGAACUUGCUACAUCACUAAGUAACUGUGUAACCUUGAACUUGCUAUGUAACUAAGUAACUUAAGUGCGUAACCUUGAGCUCCUGCUCCUUUUGCCUCUACCUCCAGAAUGCUGGGAUGACAAGCAUGUACAACUUUUGGUUUUUGCCGUGCUGGGAUUGGGAUCCAGGCUUUAUGCAUGCUAGACACGCGCUUUACCAAAGGACCCUUGAGCCCA